rnacentral:rRNA from 1 species
GUUAUAUGGUCAAGUGAAGAAGCGCAUACGGUGGAUGCCUUGGCAGUCAGAGGCGAUGAAAGACGUGGUAGCCUGCGAAAAGCUUCGGGGAGUCGGCAAACAGACUUUGAUCCGGAGAUCUCUGAAUGGGGGAACCCACCUAGGAUAACCUAGGUAUCUUGUACUGAAUCCAUAGGUGCAAGAGGCGAACCAGGGGAACUGAAACAUCUAAGUACCCUGAGGAAAAGAAAUCAACCGAGAUUCCCUUAGUAGUGGCGAGCGAACGGGGAUUAGCCCUUAAGCUUCAUUGAUUUUAGCGGAACGCUCUGGAAAGUGCGGCCAUAGUGGGUGAUAGCCCCGUACGCGAAAGGAUCUUUGAAGUGAAAUCGAGUAGGACGGAGCACGAGAAACUUUGUCUGAACAUGGGGGACCAUCCUCCAAGGCUAAAUACUACUGACUGACCGAUAGUGAACCAGUACCGUGAGGGAAAGGCGAAAAGAACCCCGGAGAGGGGAGUGAAAUAGAACCUGAAACCGUAUGCGUACAAGCAGUGGGAGCCUACUUGUUAGGUGACUGCGUACCUUUUGUAUAAUGGGUCAGCGACUUAUAUUCAGUGGCAAGCUUAACCGUAUAGGGUAGGCGUAGCGAAAGCGAGUCUUAAUAGGGCGUUUAGUCGCUGGGUAUAGACCCGAAACCGGGCGAUCUAUCCAUGAGCAGGUUGAAGGUUAGGUAACACUGACUGGAGGACCGAACCCACUCCCGUUGAAAAGGUAGGGGAUGACUUGUGGAUCGGAGUGAAAGGCUAAUCAAGCUCGGAGAUAGCUGGUUCUCCUCGAAAGCUAUUUAGGUAGCGCCUCAUGUAUCACUCUGGGGGGUAGAGCACUGUUUCGGCUAGGGGGUCAUCCCGACUUACCAAACCGAUGCAAACCCGAAUACCCAGAAGUGCCGAGCAUGGGAGACACACGGCGGGUGCUAACGUCCGUCGUGAAAAGGGAAACAACCCAGACCGCCAGCUAAGGUCCCAAAGUUGUGGUUAAGUGGUAAACGAUGUGGGAAGGCUUAGACAGCUAGGAGGUUGGCUUAGAAGCAGCCACCCUUUAAAGAAAGCGUAAUAGCUCACUAGUCGAGUCGGCCUGCGCGGAAGAUGUAACGGGGCUCAAACCACACACCGAAGCUGCGGGUGUCACGUAAGUGACGCGGUAGAGGAGCGUUCUGUAAGCCUGUGAAGGUGAGUUGAGAAGCUUGCUGGAGGUAUCAGAAGUGCGAAUGCUGACAUGAGUAACGACAAUGGGUGUGAAAAACACCCACGCCGAAAGACCAAGGGUUCCUGCGCAACGUUAAUCGACGCAGGGUUAGUCGGUUCCUAAGGCGAGGCUGAAAAGCGUAGUCGAUGGGAAACAGGUUAAUAUUCCUGUACUUCUGGUUACUGCGAUGGAGGGACGGAGAAGGCUAGGCCAGCUUGGCGUUGGUUGUCCAAGUUUAAGGUGGUAGGCUGAAAUCUUAGGUAAAUCCGGGGUUUCAAGGCCGAGAGCUGAUGACGAGUCGUCUUUUAGAUGACGAAGUGGUUGAUGCCAUGCUUCCAAGAAAAGCUUCUAAGCUUCAGGUAACCAGGAACCGUACCCCAAACCGACACAGGUGGUCGGGUAGAGAAUACCAAGGCGCUUGAGAGAACUCGGGUGAAGGAACUAGGCAAAAUGGCACCGUAACUUCGGGAGAAGGUGCGCCGGCUAGGGUGAAGGAUUUACUCCGUAAGCUCUGGCUGGUCGAAGAUACCAGGCCGCUGCGACUGUUUAUUAAAAACACAGCACUCUGCAAACACGAAAGUGGACGUAUAGGUGUGACGCCUGCCCGGUGCCGGAAGGUUAAUUGAUGGGGUUAGCGCAAGCGAAGCUCUUGAUCGAAGCCCCGGUAAACGGCGGCCGUAACUAUAACGGUCCUAAGGUAGCGAAAUUCCUUGUCGGGUAAGUUCCGACCUGCACGAAUGGCGUAACGAUGGCGGCGCUGUCUCCACCCGAGACUCAGUGAAAUUGAAAUCGCUGUGAAGAUGCAGUGUAUCCGCGGCUAGACGGAAAGACCCCGUGAACCUUUACUGUAGCUUUGCACUGGACUUUGAGCCUGCUUGUGUAGGAUAGGUGGGAGGCUUUGAAGCGUGGACGCCAGUUCGCGUGGAGCCAUCCUUGAAAUACCACCCUGGCAUGCUUGAGGUUCUAACUCUGGUCCGUGAUCCGGAUCGAGGACAGUGUAUGGUGGGCAGUUUGACUGGGGCGGUCUCCUCCUAAAGAGUAACGGAGGAGUACGAAGGUGCGCUCAGACCGGUCGGAAAUCGGUCGCAGAGUAUAAAGGCAAAAGCGCGCUUGACUGCGAGACAGACACGUCGAGCAGGUACGAAAGUAGGUCUUAGUGAUCCGGUGGUUCUGUAUGGAAGGGCCAUCGCUCAACGGAUAAAAGGUACUCCGGGGAUAACAGGCUGAUACCGCCCAAGAGUUCAUAUCGACGGCGGUGUUUGGCACCUCGAUGUCGGCUCAUCACAUCCUGGGGCUGAAGCCGGUCCCAAGGGUAUGGCUGUUCGCCAUUUAAAGUGGUACGCGAGCUGGGUUUAGAACGUCGUGAGACAGUUCGGUCCCUAUCUGCCGUGGACGUUUGAGAUUUGAGAGGGGCUGCUCCUAGUACGAGAGGACCGGAGUGGACGAACCUCUGGUGUUCCGGUUGUCACGCCAGUGGCAUUGCCGGGUAGCUAUGUUCGGAAAAGAUAACCGCUGAAAGCAUCUAAGCGGGAAACUUGCCUCAAGAUGAGAUCUCACUGGGAACUUGAUUCCCCUGAAGGGCCGUCGAAGACUACGACGUUGAUAGGCUGGGUGUGUAAGCGUUGUGAGGCGUUGAGCUAACCAGUACUAAUUGCCCGUGAGGCUUGACCAUAUAACACCCAAACA